UGGGGGAUAUUGCACAAUGGGCGAAAGCCUGAUGCAGCGACGCCGCGUGGGGGAUGAAGGCCUUCGGGUUGUAAACUUCUUUUGCUCUGAACAAGGCAUGCUAAUGGGUGUGUUGAGUGUAGGGGUUGAUUAGCGCCGGCUAACUACGUGCCAGCAGCCGCGGUAAUACGUAGGGCGCGAGCGUUGUCCGGAAUUAUUGGGCGUAAAGGGCUUGUAGGUGGCUGGUUGCGUCUGUCGUGAAAGCUCAUGGCUUAACUGUGGGUUUGCGGUGGGUACGGGCUGGCUUGAGUGCAGUAGGGGAGGCUGAAUUCCUGGUGUAGCGGUGGAAUGCGCAGAUAUCAGGAGGAAUACCGGUGGCGAAGGCGGGUCUCUGGGCUGUUACUGACACUGAGGAGCGAAAGCAUGGGGAGCGAACAGG
rnacentral:rRNA from 1 species